rnacentral:pre_miRNA from 1 species
AGGAGGAACAGCCCCGCUGGCGGGGCAGCUCAGGAAACCCGGGAGCAGCUCCGGCAGGAUCUCCGUCUGCAGGGCCUGGAGGCUCCGGGGCGGG